UGACAACAUGAUUGUGUUAGAUAAGCACAAUGAAACCACACGACUGGGAGAUAUACAAGUCCAAUUGCUCCCAGAGAGAAACUGUUUUUAAAUCAGCUGAUGAGUCAUAAGCUCGAGAUACAUAGAUAUAUACAACAACAAAAAAGAAGAAAAGGAAAUGACAGAAAAAAAGUAUAGUUUGUGCUGCCUUACCUGGGGCGUUCUGGGAGGCCUCAUACUGCAGGGCUGAUGGAGGUGCCCUGGGCUCAGGGGGGUAGAAGAGUUCUCCCUGCUGAGGGGGGUACAUGGAGGGCCUCCUGGGCAUCUGCUUGUGCAUGGCCAGGUGGUCCACUGCCAUCCUGGGGUGGGCCAUGGCCCGAUUGGGCACAGGGUCCAGUCUGAGAAAGACAAAUGAUUUCAGUGUGUGUGUGUGUGUGUGUGUGUGUGACAGAUGCUGUGUAUGUCCAUCUACUCACAAGUCUGGAGGAGAGCUGGGGGCACUGAGGCUUCCCUGGGACUGGGGCUUCCGCAUCAUCGGCUCGUAGGAGGGGUCGGCACCGCGGGAGAUGAGCUGGGGCAGGGCGGAGCCUGUGACCGACGCCACCAUGCCAUUCGUCAAGCCCUUAUGUGCCAGCCCCUCCAGCAUCCCCACCUCCUCGGGCAAUAGGCCAACCUCGUUCAGCUGCGUCAGGGAUAGGCUGAGGGGCCGGCGGGCAGCCAGACGCUUGUUCAUCUUACGGUACCUUCAGAAAGAAGGAGAAAGACAUGAUUCACACCUGUUGUGGGUCACUCCCCUUCUUGCUGUGGUUCUGGAUGAAGUCCACCAGGCCGUGUACCACAGUCUUCACUGCCACCAAGCCCGUGUCCAGCAGCUCCCACGUGGGGGGAGGGGAGUCUAAGAUGGAGGACAAGACAAGGUCGUGUCAGACCUACCUUGAAGCAGGAGGCCCUGUAGAGGAGCUGCACCACGUGGCCUAUGCUGGUCUUGGAGGCCUGGGGGAAACGUGGCUCUAACCUCUGAACCACAAACAGCACCAGGACCUUCCUGGAUAGAGCGGAGCCGUCCUCCAGAGCCAAAAGCACCAGCUUCAGAGCCUCCUCCUGCAUCGCUACAACAGACAGCGCAACAUAUGCUUACCAUUUUUCCUCAGAUGAUAUUCAUUGACAUGUCAUUUGGGCCCAGACUUUAUAUUUUAUGUUCAAAUAAAAUGUGCCUAAUUU